CAAUAGCGUAUAUUUAAGUUGUUGCAGUUAAAAAGCUCGUAGUUGGAUUUCGGUUAAGAGCGACCGGUCCGCCGUUUGGUGUGCACUGGUUGGUUUUAACUUCCUGUAGAGGACGUGCUCUGGGUUUAACGACCUGGACUCGGAGUCUACGUGGUUACUUUGAAAAAAUUAGAGUGUUCAAAGCGGGCUUACGCUUGAAUAUUUCAGCAUGGAAUAACACUAUAGGACUCCUGUCCUAUUUCGUUGGUCUCGGGACGGGAGUAAUGAUUAAGAGGAACAGUUGGGGGCAUUCGUAUUUCAUUGUCAGAUGUGAAAUUCUUGGAUUUAUGAAAGACGAACUUCUGCGAAAGCAUUUGCCAAGGAUGUUUUCAUUA
rnacentral:rRNA from 1 species